UAGAAGUGCUACCUGGAUGGGUCAUGAGA
rnacentral:piRNA from 1 species